CCGUGCUAGACGGGGAGGUAGCGGUGCCCUGUAACCCGCAAUCCGCUAUAGCGGGGUUGAUGCCUGUCCGAGGUCGUUUCUUUUUAGGGUCUGGCCGGCGCGAGCGGCGUUGAGGGCCGGGUCCUGCGCAAUGGGAACUCGUGAACCCCGCCAGGUCCGGGAGGAAGCAACGGUAAGCGAUCUCUCUCAUGUGCCGCAGGGGUUCCUGGUCGGAGCAAGCUACGCUGGGACCGCCUGGGGAGAACGGUCGGAGACCGGUGCACGG
rnacentral:SRP_RNA from 1 species